rnacentral:lncRNA from 1 species
AAGUACAUGUUUACUUUAAUGACUUGGAAUAUAAUAAAUAAUAACAGCAAAAGUUAGCAUUUACUGAGUACCUGCUGUGUGCUAUUUAUAUCUGUUAACUCUACUAGCACAGCUCUAAUAUAACCCUGAUGAUAACAACAGUUGAGGCAACAAGGAACGGACAACAAGGGUUCACCCAUAUCUGGUUUUCCUCUCCUUCCUGGACACAUGGGCCAUGACUAGUUCUAAUGACAUGUUAGGCAAAAUGGAAUGUGUCAUGUACAGGCCAAGACAAUAAGAGCUGAUAUAACCCAUCCACAUGUUUUGUCUCCUUUGGAAGUGAACAUGGAAGCUAUAAAUUGAGGUGUCAGAACCACAAGAUGGAAGUACGUUGGAUUUCUGAGUCACCACCUGGAGGAGAGCUUCCCUGCAGCAUUGCUGGAAUCUGAUGUGAACUAGAUAUUCAUCUUGAUCGUGUUGACUUGAACCUAAUUCAGGCCUAAGACAUAAUAUAUACUGCAUAAUAUAUGCCGUAUAAUGAUAAUAUAUUUAUGCAGCCUUUAUUGAUAUGAGUAGUGGUUUAUCUCAGUUUUAUAAUAAAAAUCUCUCAAAGAACAUUGACUCCAAGGAAUAACAAUCACAAAAGG